UUUAGAGCUUUCAAAACUAAA
rnacentral:piRNA from 1 species